rnacentral:rRNA from 1 species
AUUGAACGCUGGCGGCAGGCUUAACGCAUGCAAGUCGAGCGGUAACAGAGAGAAGCUUGCUUCUCUGCUGACGAGCGGCGGACGGGUGAGUAAUGCCUAGGAAUCUGCCUAGUAGUGGGGGAUAACUUGCCGAAAGGUAAGCUAAUACCGCAUACGUCCUACGGGAGAAAGGAGGGGACCUUCGGGCCUUUCGCUAUUAGAUGCGCCUAGGUCGGAUUAGUUAGUUGGUGAGGUAAUGGCUCACCAAGACCGCGAUCCGUAACUGGUCUGAGAGGAUGAUCAGUCACACUGGAACUGAGACACGGUCCAGACUCCUACGGGAGGCAGCAGUGGGGAAUAUUGGACAAUGGGGGGAACCCUGAUCCAGCCAUGCCGCGUGUGUGAAGAAGGUCUUAGGAUUGUAAAGCACUUUAAGUUGGGAGGAAGAGCAGUUAACUAAUAUUUGACUGUUUUGACGUUACCGACAGAAUAAGCACCGGCUAACUUCGUGCCAGCCGCCGCAGUAA